rnacentral:rRNA from 1 species
ACGUGUGGGGGCGAGCGGAGUUGGUAGUGGGUAGGGUGCAGGCGUGUGCAGGGUUUAUUGGGAGGGAAGGGGUCGUAGGCGGUUUGGUAGGUCGGAUUGGAAAUCGCCAGGCGCAACCUGGAGGGGUCAGUCGUUAAUGCCAUGAGUAGAGUUCUGUAGGGGAGUGUGGAAUUCCUGGUGGAGCGUUGAAAUGGGCAGAUAUCAGGAGGAACACCCGUAGCGAAGGCGGCACUCUGGGCCUAUACUGACGCUGAGGAGCGAAAGCGUGGGGAGCGAACAGGAUUAGAUACCCCGCUAGUC